GUUUUGGUGCUAAAUUCGUAAAUACAGUAAUUACUACAUAGCAUUACUGCGUAUUGAACGACUUUUUUCUGUCAAAUUUGUUGUGAAACAUGAUGUUUUGGUGCUUAAUUUGUAAAAUCAUAAUCUAAUUUGAUGUUUAAUAGGCUUUUCCUUAAUUCCUUCUUAUUAUCCAACAUAUUCACUUAUCCAACGUUCUGUCGGCCCGUUAAGUUGGAUAAGCGAAUAUGUUGGAUAAUAAGGAGGGAUUAAGAAAAAGCCUAUUACACAUCAAAUUAGGUUACGAUUUUACAAAUUAAGCACCAAAACAUCAUGUUUAACAACAAAUUUGACAGAAAAAGUAGUUCAAUAUGCAGUAAUGCUAUGUAGUAAUUACUGUAUUUACAAAUUUAGCACCAAAAUAUCAUGAUGUAUUGAAAACAUUGACUACAAAAAUGCAUUGGAUAAUCCAGAACGUUGGAUAAGCGAGUGUUGAAUAAGUGAGACUCUACUGUAGUUUUAAAAUUUUUAGUUUUAAAUUCAAGUAUUAUAACAUGAAUUUAUAUUGACAACAUUCAUAUAUUAAGAUUUGUAUGCUUUACACCAUGAGUCGUCUUGAAGAGACUGUAGCCUUGUAAGGAAGCUAAGAAGUGCAUUAAAUAAGAUUCAAUGUCUAAAUAGAGCACUGUAGUUUCAGCUAUUCUCCUUCCAUCCUAAUGCACCUGGACCAAUAUAAAAUCUUCUGCUAGUCCUAAAGAAUAAUGGGGGCAAUGUAAGGAGAGGUCACCUGGUUUCUUUGCCCUAGCAGAUUUUAAACCUAAAUGUAGAAGUCUGGAGAAGACAUAAAAGUUUACUUCAGAAAGAAACCAUAAAUUUGAAGCUCAGGCAGAAUACUGGAGUGGAGAAGGUUUUGCCAAAUGAAAUCUGUUCUUGAAGUGUCAACGUUAAAUACUGAUAUGCAGGUGAUCUAAAAGCUAAUGUUCUCUCAUUAAAUGUGCUAAAGUACUUGUGUCCCGCUAUACCCUGUUGCAAGGGCACUCAAAUAAUGGAGAUUUAUCUAUAGGUAUGAGCAUAGGAAUACUGAGCUGUGAUUUUCAUUUCUCAGACUUACCUUUGAAUAAACACAAAUAGAAUAUAUAUUUCAUUAAACUAAUAGCUGUGCUGAAUUUUCCUCUCCCAAAAAACAGUUAAGAUUAUUAUUACUAACCCCAUGAAGUUAUCUUUUCAUUUUAAUGAACGGUAUUAUGGAUCUUAUUGUUUUUAGUGUUUUAUAAUUUGAUUAUUUUAUACAAGGCAUUAUGGUAUCUGUUUUUAUCAUGAACUGUUUGAAUAUAUUUAAAAUGAAAAGCAGGAUAUAACUGUAUUGAGGAAAAAAUAAAUUACAUAUGGC
rnacentral:lncRNA from 1 species